rnacentral:piRNA from 1 species
UAUCCCAAAGAAUUUUUUCUCUAAUGGUGU